UACGGAGGGUGCAAGCGUUAUCCGGAUUCACUGGGUUUAAAGGGAGCGCAGGCGGAUUUGUAGGUCAGUGGUGAAAGGCUUAAGCUUAACUUGGGAACUGCCAUUGAUACUAUAAGUCUUGAAUGUUGUUGAGGUUUGCGGAAUGGGUCAUGUAGCGGUGAAAUGCAUAGAUAUGACCCGGAACACCUAUUGCGAAGGCAGCAGGCUAAACAAAUAUUGACGCUGAGGCUCGAAAGCGUGGGGAUCAAACAGG
rnacentral:rRNA from 1 species